GCUGUGAUGGCCAAGUGGUUAAGGCAUUGGAUUUGAAAUCCGAUAGGGUUUCCCCGUGCAGUGUCAAACCCUGCUCUCAGCG